CUUGGUCAUUUAGAGGAAGUAAAAGUCGUAACAAGGUCUCCGUAGGUGAACCUGCGGAGGGAUCAUUACAAGUGACCCCGGUCUUACCACCGGGAUGUUCAUAACCCUUUGUUGUCCGACUCUGUUGCCUCCGGGGCGACCCUGCCUUCGGGCGGGGGCUCCGGGUGGACACUUCAAACUCUUGCGUAACUUUGCAGUCUGAGUAAACUUAAUUAAUAGAUUAAAACUUUUAACAACGGAUCUCUUGGUUCUGGCAUCGAUGAAGAACGCAGCGAAAUGCGAUAAGUAAUGUGAAUUGCAGAAUUCAGUGAAUCAUCGAAUCUUUGAACGCACAUUGCGCCCCCUGGUAUUCCGGGGGGCAUGCCUGUUCGAGCGUCAUUUCACCACUCAAGCCUCGCUUGGUAUUGGGCAACGCGGUCCGCCGCGUGCCUCAAAUCGACCGGCUGGGUCUUCUGUCCCCUAAGCGUUGUGGAAACUAUUCGCUAAAGGGUGUUCGGGAGGCUACGCCGUAAAACAACCCCAUUUCUAAGGUUGACCUCGGAUCAGGUAGGGAUACCCGCUGAACUUAAGCAUAUCAAUAAGCGGAGGA
rnacentral:rRNA from 1 species